UCCGUAGGCGGGCAAUUAAGUCAGAGGUGAAAUCCCACAGCUCAACUGUGGAACUGCCUUUGAUACUGGUUGUCUUAAGUUACAGUGAAGUAGAUAGAAUAUGUAGUGUAGCGGUGAAAUGCAUAGAUAUUACAUAGAAUACCGAUUGCGAAGGCAGUCUACUAACUGUCGACUGACGCUAAGGGACGAAAGCGUGGGGAGCGAACAGGAUUAGAUACCCUGGUAGUC
rnacentral:rRNA from 1 species